rnacentral:rRNA from 1 species
UACGGAGGGGGCCAGCGUUGCUCGGAAUUACUGGGCGUAAAGGGCUCGUAGGCGGCCGGUUGCGUCUGCUGUGAAAUCCCGGGGCUUAACCCCGGGCGUGCAGUGGAUACGGGCCGGCUGGAGGCAGGCAGGGGAGAAUGGAAUUCCCGGUGUAGCGGUGAAAUGCGCAGAUAUCGGGAGGAACACCCGUGGCGAAGGCGGCUCUCUGGGACGGUACUGACGCUGAGACGCGAAAGCGUGGGGAGCAAACAGG